AACAGUUUGGAGAAGUGCUGUGGUGGGCUAAGAAGACCAAGACCCUAGGGUAUGCUUUCAUGCCUCCCUGGCAGGAUUACGUAGUGUCCCAACAUUUCCAGCAUCACAGUUGAUGAAGAAAACGAUAUUAAGGAGGUGAGGAAUAACAUGGAAUUUCACAAUGGUGAACAUGAGAGGGAAAUUGCAAAAAGGACAUGAGACCCUGGAGAAAAAGGGGCUCAGAGUUGGCUCUCUACCCUGUUAAAUGAUCUUUUCCAAGGAUUCCCAACAUAAACAAAGUCUGUAAUCGAGAGACUUUUCAGAAGACUUUUUCUUUGAGGGGUUGAGUCAUCUAAGAAGAAGCAAAUAAAAAGAAAUGAUGAUCUAGAAGCCAAUAUUUUAUUAAUUGCCAAAGGAACCAUAAUCUUCUUCACAUUGUCUUCCUUUCCUUUGCGUAUGUGAAAGUGUAGAUCUUCUGAAUUAGACAUGCUCAGGAUGCAAAGCAAGCAGUACAUGGUAACAUAGCAUAUUGUUGUGGACAUAUACAAUAGGGAUAAAAGCUUUAAAUUUUAUUUGUGGAACAAUGUUUUAAAAUAUCAAACAGCAAGACUCCAAGCUUAAACAAUGACUGGGAACACUCUGUUCUGUCCCCCCUCUCUCCCAACAAAAAGCAGCCUUAUGGUAUAAGAAGCCAUAGGAGUAUGCCACAGGAAAGUGGUAGCCUUGGAAACUCUUCCUGACUCCAUACAAGUGGUGGCAUCAAAUGGGAUGCCUGGGGAACCUUGGAUUACAUCCCAACUAGCUGGAGGCAAUGGAAAUAGGAGAAUGAAAAGCCCUGGAGCUCUGUGACCCAGGGAGCCCCUCAGAACCAACUGGCAGAGGGUACACCAUACCACAACUCACAUCAGGCAUGACGCAGUAAUUGCCUCAACUCACUGUCAUAAUCUGUAUCUAAAAGGUGUUAUGUAAGGUACCAUAUGCAAACUGGUAACAUGCAGGGCAUUAAUAUUAUUGUAUGAUCUGUGUACAGGAGGUAUAAAGAGAAUUAUAGAUGUGUUCUGGAAAUAUAUUUUUAAAAAGUGUUUGUCAAGCAGUGCAUACCCCCAGCG